rnacentral:rRNA from 1 species
UACGUAGGGACCAAGCGUUGUCCGGAAUCAUUGGGCGUAAAGAGCGUGUAGGCGGCUUUACAGGUCCGUUGUGAAAACUCGAGGCUCAACCUCGAGACGCCGGUGGAAACCGUAAGGCUAGAGUCCGGAAGAGGAGAGUGGAAUUCCUGGUGUAGCGGUGAAAUGCGCAGAUAUCAGGAGGAACACCCGUGGCGAAAGCGGCUCUCUGGGACGGUACUGACGCUGAGACGCGAAAGCGUGGGGAGCAAACAGG